CGGAGCAGACGAUGGAGCUUCUUCAAAAGUCAGGCCAAAGUCAGAGAGUCCCAGAAAGAGAGAGCGUCGCGAUUCUAGGCUUUCUUCCCCAUCGUUCGAUCUCAGACUUCUCUCUCUCUCUCUCUCUCUCUCUCGGUAAUCUACGUUUCGGAAUUACCGGAGAUUUCUAUCAAAAACUCUUUUUCUAAUCUUUUCUUGCCGAAUUUGCCGGUGAAUCAUUGCCGUGUUUUAACGGACUCGGAGGCUUGCUUGAUCGUCCUCCUUCCUUGUUUCAUCAUUUUGUUGAAUUCGCUUUUCUAUUUUUAGGCGAUCUGGAGAAGCGUUUAUGACUUUCUAUUAACGAAAAAUCCGCUAGAUUUAUUUAAAUAAUAAUUAAUACUAAAGAGAUCUCCUUUCUGUGGAAUUUUCAUUGAAAUUGGAGAAUUGACUAGAAAAAAAAAAAAUCUGAUUUUUAUUUUUGUGAUGGUCACAUCGUAAGCAGUAGUAUUAAUGGAUUGGAGAUUUUCUCAUUUGGUUUUAUGAAUCAGUGUUUGUUUGUUUGUUUGUGUUUGGUCAGUGUCAUCAUUAUGUUGACAUUAUGAUUUGUUUUAUUAAUGAAACAAGAGGAUGAUUAAAAAGGGUAACUAUUUAUUGUUGACAGGUCGGAGAAGAUAAAAGGCACCAUUCAUUAUUGAUCUAUGGCUGGAUGAUAAGAGUUUUUUCUCCGGAGGUUCGGAGUUUUUUUUCUUUCUAAAAGAUGGCAGUCUCU
rnacentral:lncRNA from 1 species